GCCGUCCCUUCCGUCCGCCGACUACUACGACUCUACGGAGGGCAGGCAGUGGGGAAUAUUGGACAAUGGGGGCAACCCUGAUCCAGCCAUGCCGCGUGAGUGAUGAAGGCCUUCGGGUUGUAAAGGCUCUUUUGGCGGGGACGAUGAUGACGGUACCCGCAGAAUAAGCCCGGCUAACUUCGUGCCAGCAGCCGCGGUAAUAC
rnacentral:rRNA from 1 species